GACUCCUACGGGAGGCAGCAGUGGGGAAUAUUGCACAAUGGGCGCAAGCCUGAUGCAGCAACGCCGUGUGAGUGAAGAAGGUUUUCGGAUCGUAAAACUCUGUCCUAAGGGAAGAAACAAAUGACGGUACCUUAGGAGGAAGCCCCGGCUAACUACGUGCCAGCAGCCGCGGUAAUACGUAGGGGGCAAGCGUUAUCCGGAAUCACUGGGCGUAAAGGGUGCGUAGGCGGCUUAGCAAGCCAGGGGUGAAAGGCAUUGGCUCAACCAAUGUAAGCCUUUGGAACUGUUAAGCUUGAGUGCAGGAGAGGUAAGUGGAAUUCCUAGUGUAGAGGUGAAAUUCGUAGAUAUUAGGAGGAACACCAGUGGCGAAGGCGACUUACUGGACUGUAACUGACGCUGAUGCACGAAAGCGUGGGUAGCGAACAGGAUUAGAUACCCUGGUAG
rnacentral:rRNA from 1 species